rnacentral:rRNA from 1 species
UACGUAGGGGGCUAGCGUUGUCCGGAAUCAUUGGGCGUAAAGAGCGCGUAGGCGGCCAGAUAAGUCCGGUGUGAAAGUCAAAGGCUCAACCUUUGAAUGCCGCUGGAAACUGUCUGGCUAGAGUCCGGGAGGGGCGAGUGGAAUUCCUGGUGUAGCGGUGAAAUGCGCAGAUAUCAGGAGGAACACCAAUGGCGAAGGCAAUCCCCUGGGCCUGCACUGACGCUCAUGCACGAAAGCGUGGGGAGCAAACAGG